rnacentral:rRNA from 1 species
GAAAACAGGUUUCCGUAGGUGAACCUGCGGAAGGAUCAUUA